rnacentral:rRNA from 1 species
CCUACGGGAGGCAGCAGUGGGGGAUAUUGCACAAUGGGGGAAACCCUGAUGCAGCGACGCCGCGUGAGUGAAGAAGUAUUUCGGUAUGUAAAGCUCUGUCAGCAGGGAAGAAAAUGACGGUAACUGACCAAAAAGCCCCGGCUAACUACGUGCCAGCAGCCGCGGUAAUACGUAGGGGGCAAGCGUUAUCCGGAUUUACUGGGUGUAAAGGGAGCGUAGACGGCAGGGCAAGUCAGGAGUGAAAGGCGGGGGCUCAACCCCCGGACUGCUCUGGAAACUGGCAGGCUGGAGUGCAGGAGAGGUAAGUGGAAUUCCUAGGGUAGCGGUGAAAUGCGUAGAUAUUAGGAGGAACACCAGGGGCGAAGGCGGCUUACUGGACUGUAACUGACGUUGAGGCUCGAAAGCGUGGGGAGCAAACAGGAUUAGAUACCCGAGUAGUC